UGGGGAAUAUUGCACAAUGGGCGCAAGCCUGAUGCAGCCAUGCCGCGUGUGUGAAGAAGGCCUUCGGGUUGUAAAGCACUUUCAGCGAGGAGGAAGGUGGUGAACUUAAUACGUUCAUCAAUUGACGUUACUCGCAGAAGAAGCACCGGCUAACUCCGUGCCAGCAGCCGCGGUAAUACGGAGGGUGCAAGCGUUAAUCGGAAUUACUGGGCGUAAAGCGCACGCAGGCGGUUUGUUAAGUCAGAUGUGAAAUCCCCGGGCUCAACCUGGGAACUGCAUUUGAAACUGGCAAGCUAGAGUCUCGUAGAGGGGGGUAGAAUUCCAGGUGUAGCGGUGAAAUGCGUAGAGAUCUGGAGGAAUACCGGUGGCGAAGGCGGCCCCCUGGACGAAGACUGACGCUCAGGUGCGAAAAGCGUGGGGAGCAAAACAGGAUUAGAUACCCUGGUAGUCCACGCUGUAAAACGAUGUCGAUUUUGGAGGUUGUGCCCUUGAGGCGUGGCUUCCGGAGCUUUUAACGCGUUAAAUCGACCGCCUGGGGAGUACGGCCGCAAGGUUAAAACU
rnacentral:rRNA from 1 species